GGGUCAGUAGGUUGGUCGUGCCACCGGUACGUACUGGUCUCACUGAUUCCUCCUUCCUGAAGAACCGUAAUGCCAUUAAUUUGGUGUUGCGGGGAAACAGGACUGUUACUUUGAAAAAAAUUAGAGUGUUUAAAGCAAGCUAACGCUUGAAUACAUUAGCAUGGAAUAAUGAAAUAGGACGAUCGAUCCUAUUUUGUUGGUUUCUAAGAUUGACGUA
rnacentral:rRNA from 1 species